rnacentral:rRNA from 1 species
GCCCAGACUCCUACGGGAGGCAGCAGUGGGGAAUAUUGCACAAUGGGGGAAACCCUGAUGCAGCGACGCCGCGUGAGCGAUGAAGUAUUUCGGUAUGUAGAGCUCUAUCAGCAGGGAAGAAAAUGACGGUACCUGACUAAGAAGCCCCGGCUAACUACGUGCCAGCAGCCGCGGUAAUACGUAGGGGGCAAGCGUUAUCCGGAUUUACUGGGUGUAAAGGGAGCGUAGACGGCGAUGCAAGCCAGAUGUGAAAGCCCGGGGCUCAACCCCGGGACUGCAUUUGGAACUGUAUAGCUAGAGUGUCGGAGAGGCAGGCGGAAUUCCUAGUGUAGCGGUGAAAUGCGUAGAUAUUAGGAGGAACACCAGUGGCGAAGGCGGCCUGCUGGGCUUUUACUGACGCUGAGGCUCGAAAGUGUGGGGAGCAAACAGGAUUAGAUACCCGAGUA